CUCACUAUAAUUGAUGUAUUAGGAAAACACUUUAUUUGCAAUUUUCUUUUUUACCGCACUUAAAAAUCAAUCUGAAAAGUGAAAUGUAAAAUUCCGAAUCAGAAAAACAAAAAAUAAAAAUUUGGAUGACUGGAAUUUAAAAUCUAAAACUGAUAAUAUGUUAUAAUCAUAAUUGUAAUUACCUUUUCAAAAUUUGUAAAAUCUGGAACUGCUAACCUUAUUUGUAGUUUACCUCUUAAAAAAAAUGUAAAAUGGAUACCGAAUGAGUCUCCGACUAAAACUAAAAUUCUGUAAACAAAUAAAAUCAGAAGAGAUGUUAAAAUCAAAAUCAUAUACGACAUCUAUCUCUUAUGAAGGAUAAAAUAAACGUAUAAUACCUCUGAUUAUUAGAAAGAAUGAAAUAAGACAUUCUCUUCUUCCUUCCUGUUCUCUUCUGUUUUCUUUUCUUAGGCAACAAGGUUGCAUCAGGUAUCAGUUAGAUACCUUACAUCCACAAAAUAAUGGCAAUCCUUGAAGAUUCUUUUCUGGAAGAUCUUUAGGAUCUAUCCGACAAUGAUAAUGAGAACCUGGAUGAAGACAAUGGAGAUGCAGUGAACAUGGAAGAAGAUCUCAGUAAAGACUUAAACGAUAUACAAGCCCUCAACUACGAUGACUCAGACAGUGUCUCAAAGUUACAAAAAACACAACGUUACACAGACAUCAUGAACAAAGUCGAAAUAGCCCUUGAAAAAGGGUCAGAUAUGUCAAGCCAAACCAUGGUUCUAGAAGACGAUCCAGAACACCAACUAUUAGUCUUGACUUAGAAGGUCUGUUACCUUUAGCCAUCAUAAUGGUUGUUUCCAUCACAGCCUCAACCACAACCGGAAAACCAAUUCCCGAAAAUACCCUCUCAGAAAACCAUCGAAGCAUGUGAUCGUUCACUUACUUUAGAUUCUUCAAAAAAGAAAGUUCUUGAUUUUGUCUAAAGAAGAAUGGGCUACAUUGCACCGAAUCUUUCCGCCAUUGUUGGAAGUGGAGUUGCUGCAAAACUUAUGGGGACAGCCGGCGGGCUUACACCACUCGCAAAGAUGCCAGCUUGUAUCGGUUGCUCAAAGCAAAGUCGCUGCUAAAGUUGCCAAAAAGGGCAAAGAUAAACGAUAUAGAAGUGGUGGGGAUACCUCUGGAUUGACUUCAAGUUUUGCGUUCACACCUGUUCAGGGGAUUGAUCUUAUAGAUCCACAGGCAGAUGCUAAUAG
rnacentral:lncRNA from 1 species